rnacentral:rRNA from 1 species
GACAGAGGGUGCGAACGUUGUUCGGAAUUACUGGGCGUAAAGCGCAUGUAGGCGGCGGCGCAAGUCGGGCGUGAAAUCCCACGGCUCAACCGUGGAAGUGCACUCGAAACUGCGCAGCUAGAGUCCUGGAGAGGAAGGUGGAAUGCUUGGUGUAGAGGUGAAAUUCGUAGAUAUCAAGCGGAACACCGGUGGCGAAGGCGGCCUUCUGGACAGUGACUGACGCUGAGAUGCGAAAGCGUGGGGAGCAAACAGG